UGAGGAAUAUUGGGCAAUGCCCGCAAGGGUGACCCAGCAACGCCGCGUGGAGGAUGAAUGUCGUAAGAUUGUAAACUCCUGUUAGAGGGGAAGAAUAGUACCGGUUGGACCGGUAUAUGACUGUACCCUCAGAGAAAGCCCCGGCUAACUACGUGCCAGCAGCCGCGGUAAUACGUAGGGGGCAAGCGUUGUCCGGAUUUACUGGGUGUAAAGGGCGCGCAGGCGGGAUAAAAAGUCAGUGGUGAAAUCCUACAGCUUAACUGUAGAACUGCCUUUGAUACUUUUAUUCUUGAGUUCGGGAGAGAGAGACGGAAUUCCAGGUGUAGUGGUGAAAUACGUAGAUAUCUGGAAGAACACCGGUUGCGAAGGCGGUCUCUUGGUCCGACACUGACGCUGAGGCGCGAAAGCGUGGGGAACAAACA
rnacentral:rRNA from 1 species